rnacentral:rRNA from 1 species
AAAUUGAAGAGUUUGAUCAUGGCUCAGAUUGAACGCUGGCGGCAGGCCUAACACAUGCAAGUCGAACGGUGACAGGAAGCAGCUUGCUGCUUUGCUGACGAGUGGCGGACGGGUGAGUAAUGUCUGGGAAACUGCCUGAUGGAGGGGGAUAACUACUGGAAACGGUAGCUAAUACCGCAUAACGUCGCAAGACCAAAGAGGGGGACCUUC